rnacentral:rRNA from 1 species
GGAUUAGAUACCCUGGUAGUCCACGCCCUAAACGAUGCUAACUGGAUAUUUUCACGAGUGAGUGGGAGUGUCUGAGGGAAACCAUUAAGUUAGCCACCUGGGGAGUACGUUCGCAAGAAUGAAACUCAAAGGAAUUGACGGGGGCCCGCACAAGCGGUGGAGCAUGUGGUUUAAUUCGAUGAUACGCGAGGAACCUUACCUAGGCUACAAUGCCUUGGCCAGCUGGUGAAAGCCGGUUUUCCUGCGGGACCAAGUGCAAGGUGCUGCAUGGUUGUCGUCAGCUCGUGCCG